ACGAACGCUGGCGGCGUGCUUAACCCAUGCCAGUCGAACGGAAAGGCCCCCUUGUGGGGUACUCGAGUGGCGAACGGGUGAGUAACACGUGAGUAACCUACCCUUGACUUUGGGAUAACUUCAGGAAACUGGGGCUAAUACCGGAUAGGAGCUCCUGCUGCAUGGUGGGGGUUGGAAAGUUUCGGCGGUUGGGGAUGGACUCGCGGCUUAUCAGCUUGUUGGUGGGGUAGUGGCUCACCAAGGCUUUGACGGGUAGCCGGCCUGAGAGGGUGACCGGCCACAUUGGGACUGAGAUACGGCCCAGACUCCUACGGGAGGCAGCAGUGGGGAAUAUUGCACAAUGGGCGGAAGCCUGAUGCAGCAACGCCGCGUGCGGGAUGACGGCCUUCGGGUUGUAAACCGCUUUCGCCUGUGACGAAGCGUGAGUGACGGUAAUGGGUAAAGAAGCACCGGCUAACUACGUG
rnacentral:rRNA from 1 species